CCUACGGGAGGCUGCAGUGAGGAAUAUUGGUCAAUGGACGAGAGUCUGAACCAGCCAUGUCGCGUGCAGGAUGACUGCUCUAUGAGUUGUAAACUUCUUUUAUAUGGGAGUAAACUGUUCCACGUGUGGGAAUUUGUAUGUACUGUACGAAUAAGGAUCGGCUAACUCCGUGCCAGCAGCCGCGGUAAUACGGAGGAUCCGAGCGUUAUCCGGAUUUAUUGGGUUUAAAGGGAGCGUAGGUGGAUUGUUAAGUCAGUUGUGAAAGUUUGGGGCUUAACCGUGAAAUUGCAGUUGAUACUGUCAGUCUAGAGUACAGAUGAGGUAGGCGGAAUGCAUGGUGUAGCGGUGAAAUGCUUAGAGAUCACGAAGAACUCCGAUUGCGAAGGCAGCUCAC
rnacentral:rRNA from 1 species